rnacentral:rRNA from 1 species
ACAGCAGCAGCCACGGGAAUACAGAGGGUGCGAGCGUUAAUCGGAUUUACUGGGCGUAAAGCGUGCGUAGGCGGCUUUUUAAGUCGGAUGUGAAAUCCCUGAGCUUAACUUAGGAAUUGCAUUCGAUACUGGGAAGCUAGAGUAUGGGAGAGGAUGGUAGAAUUCCAGGUGUAGCGGUGAAAUGCGUAGAGAUCUGGAGGAAUACCGAUGGCGAAGGCAGCCAUCUGGCCUAAUACUGACGCUGAGGUACGAAAGCAUGGGGAGCAAACAGGAUUAGAUACCCGGGUAGUCCCUGUCUCUUAUAC